rnacentral:rRNA from 1 species
CAAUGGCAUAUAUUAAAGUUGUUGCGGUUAAAAUGCUCGUAGUUGGCUUUUUAACACUGUAGCUGAUGGUUGGCUGUAAAUCCUUUAAUUGGUAGGCUAAUCGAACAUGCUCAGUGAUUGCCGCGACAACUUAAAAAUUGUUUGGCUUUUUGGCUGGCUCGCACGGGAUGCUCUUUAUUGAGUGUCCCGAGUGGCUGGUAUGUUUACUUUGAAAAAAUUAGAGUGCUUAAAGCAGGCUAAAUUAAUGGCCUGAAUGGUGAUGCAUGGAAUAAUGAAAUAAGACCUCGGUUCCAUUUUCUUAUAUAUCGGUUUUCCUUUUUGGAACCCGAGGUAAUGAAUGAAGGGGAUAAACGGGGGCAUAUGUACUGCAACGCUAGAGGUGAAAUUCUUGGAUCGUUGUAUGACAAACAACUGCGAAAGCAUUUGCCAAGGAUGUUUUCAUUAAUCAAGAACGAAAGUUAGAGGUUCGAAGGCGAUCAGAUACCGCCCUAGUUCUAACCAUAAACGAUGCUAACCAGCGAUCUGCUGGAGUUAUGUACAUGACUCGGCGGGCAGCUUCCUGGGAAACCAAAGUCUUUGAGUUCCGGGGGAAGUAUGGUUGCAAAGUUGAAACUUAAAGGAAUUGACGGAAGGGCACCACCAGGAGUGGAGCCUGCGGCUUAAUUUGACUCAACACGGGAAACCUCACCAGGUCCGGACACUGGAAGGAUUGACAGAUUGAAAGCUCUUUCUUGAUUCAGUGGGUGGUGGUGCAUGGCCGUUCUUAGUUGGU